UAAUAAGUGUUUUAUGGCACUUUUUAAAUCCAUAUCCACCUUGUGUGCAAUGUCAGUCGAUCUUCUUCAUGGAGAUCGACCAAACAUCAACCUUUAUUUUUUUAACUCUCUUUGUCUGAAAAAUAUUAUGAAUAAACAAUUCAAAAUA
rnacentral:misc_RNA from 1 species